rnacentral:rRNA from 1 species
AACUUUAAGCAAUGGAUUUUUUGGCUUUCGCAUCGAUGAAGAGGGUAGCAAAUUGCGAUAAUUAGUGCGAUUUGCAUUUUGGGAAUCAUCGAGUUUUUGAACGCACCUUGCACCCUUUGGGUUGUCCUUGGGGUAUGCUUGUUUCAGUA